rnacentral:tRNA from 2 species
GGGUCUUUAGCUCAGUUGGUUAGAGCUCCCGGCUCAUAACCGGGCGGUCCCGGGUUCGAGUCCCGGAGGACCCACCA